CAGUAGCCGCGGUAAUACGGAGGGUGCAAGCGUUAAUCGGAAUUACUGGGCGUAAAGCGUGCGUAGGCGGUUCGUUAAGUCUGAUGUGAAAGCCCCGGGCUCAACCUGGGAAUGGCAAUGGAUACUGGCGAGCUAGAGUGUGUCAGAGGAUGGUGGAAUUCCCGGUGUAGCGGUGAAAUGCGUAGAGAUCGGGAGGAACAUCAGUGGCGAAGGCGGCCAUCUGGGACAACACUGACGCUGAGGCACGAAAGCGUGGGGAGCAAACAGGAUUAGAGACCCGUGUAGUCCCUGUCCUCUUAUA
rnacentral:rRNA from 1 species